UGUGAUGUAGCUCAGUGGCAAAGUGCUUGCCUAGGAAGGCAAAAGUCCUGGGUUCAAUCCCCAGUACCAAAA
rnacentral:tRNA from 1 species